rnacentral:rRNA from 1 species
AGAGUUUGAUCCUGGCUCAGGAUGAACGCUGGCGGCGUGCCUAACACAUGCAAGUCGAACGGAUGGCUUCGGCCAUCAGUGGCAAACGGGUGCGUGACACGUAGGCAUCUACCUCACAGAUGGGGACAACGAUUGGAAACGGUCGCUAAUACCCGAUGUCGUCCACGGACGAAAGACGCAAGUCGCUGUGAGAGGAGCCUGCGGCCUAUCAGGUCGUUGGUGAGGUAACGGCUCACCAAGCCGUCGACGGGUAGGGGGUGUGAGAGCAUGACCCCCCACACGGGGACUGAGACACGGCCCCGACUCCUACGGGAGGCAGCAGUGAGGGAUAUUGGGCAAUGGGCGCAAGCCUGACCCAGCGACGCCGCGUGGAGGAGAAGGGCUUCGGCUCGUAAACUCCUUUUCCCAGGGACGAGAACAGGACGGUACCUGGGGAAUAAGUCUCGGCUAACUACGUGCCAGCCGCCGCGGUAAUUC